GGGAACAAGUCUCGGGCAGUCAACCUAGGGCACCGAGCCCCUACCCAGGACCCGGUGGGCCCCAGCGGGCGCCGAGAGAGAUGCGCGUCUUGGGCAGAGGUCGUCUCCUCCGGUUUUCGCGACUCUGGCGGGACCCUCUGCCCUGUAAACUCCCACCUGGGACCGCGGCUCCGGCAGGUCAAGAUCCCGAAUGGAAAGCAGGCCAGGGGCCUGAAGGUAGACCCUUUUUUCCUUCUCUCAGCCAGGCGAUGUGCCCGCGGCCUGGGUCGGCGGCGUUGGGUGCUGCAGAGCCGGGGACUUCCCACCCAGAGGAAAGGCCGCUUCAUCCCGGUCCCCGCUCUUCUCAGCGCCCCCCCCGCCCCCGCACUGCCCAUCAGCACCGUGGGUGGGGGUCUUCAGGCCACACAGGGAGACCACUGACCCACAGGCCCCUCCGGCCCCAGGGAGGCUCAGGUGAGCAGCGCUUGUUCUCAGGACUGUCAGCUGUUCUGGCGGAUCUGCUUCUGUCCUUGGGCCGGCCGGCUCCACCCUGCCUCUCGGGAUUCCGGGACGUUGGACCAUCCGGCUCCCACAGUGCCAUGUGCAGGUGAGGACAGGCCUGAGCUCCAGGUGGCCUUUGGGACGCAGGCUCUGUGCCUCUGCUCGAUCCUCCCUCCCUCUCUCUCCUAAACCCUCUUCCCUCCCAAGCAGCCCCUGCCCCCUUCCCCGCCCCCUCAGGCCGCUUCCUCCCAGCUGCCCGCGUCCUGUCCUGACUUGCCCUGCCCGAGGCCAAGUCUUACCUGGGACCUGGAAGAUCCUGGCUGUGGGCCCUGGGGGAUCAGCGUUGGAACCUGAGCUGUGCCCAUGCCAGUGGGCUGGCCGGCGACUGGCUCUUUCCUGCCUGCCCUGCGGCAGCUCCAGAAGGGGGCGGGCCGGGGAAAGAAAGGGAAGGACGAGGUGGCCUGGGUCCCCUGGGUGUCCAGGAGCAACUUGGAUAGGGGAGGGGCAGGGGCACGUGGCUGGGCCCCCGGGCAGGGCUGGGAGGACGUCCCCGCUCCCCAGGGGACGGGGGUGGCCUGUGUCUCCCUGCAGGUAACACAGCUGCCAGCUGCCAGAGAGAUGGAUGCUGAGACUCCCUGUGGGGUGGUCAGGCCCCCCCUGCAGGAGGGCCCCCCUGGGGCUUCAAGGGGGGAGCAGGGGCAGCCGGAACACCUGGCCAAGCAUGUCGAAGAGCGGCAGAUGUGUUCCGUGCGCUUGCCCAGCCUCCCGGUGACCAGAGGCCCCAGCCCUCCAUCUCCCCAGCCCCCUCCCCGGGCCUCCUGGGGCCCUGGGGGAAUCCCAGAGGUUGUCCUGCCUCUGAGCCCCUGCGAAUGCUAUUCCCUCUGCCUCCUCCCUCCCCUGGGACCCCCAGGCCUUCUCCUCGGCCUGCACUUUUCCUUGGGUCCGACCUGCUCCACCCCCACCGUCUCCCUCCUCGUGGCAGAGGGCUGGGCACCUCUCACCACUGGUCUCCCGUCGGCUACUGCCCAGAUCCUGCCUCUCCCAGGCCAGCCCAGCCAGGAUCCUCCGCAGCGAGGAGCCUGCCCCCCGCCCCCGCGCCCCCGAGGAAUCCAAUAAACCUUUGUGAAACCAGCUACCGGAGUGCAGUGUGGACUCAUUGGAAACGUCUAACUUCCAAAUAUUUCAUCCUGCCCUUCUGCACGCUGGCGGGCAGCCCUGAGCGAGGAAGCCGUGGAAUAGCAGGGACACCAGAGGGGAGAAGAAAAAGUGGGACCGUGAGGAAGGACCUACUCCCCACUGGGGACCCAGGGCCACCCCAGCAGCCUCCACGUGGGCCACGGACCCAUUUCGCCUCGAAUAUCCUGGUACUUAGACCUGAUGGCUGUGAUUCCCAAUGUCCAGAAGACAAAAUGACUGUCCAGCUGCCCGGAUGUGUAGCUAGGGGUGUGCCCGCACUAGUCAACAUCCUGGCAGAACCGUCUCUGAGGCCAGUCAGCCUCCGUCUCUGAACCUGGGGUCACCACGGUGCAGAUACCCAGGGCUGUGUACAGAUUAAAUGCCACUACACUCAGGGUUGCCAGUGUGUAGGAGCUCAGAGCAGAGAGGGACCCUCACCUGGCGUUGCUGAGGCUGAGAGAUGGCCAAUAAAGUGGCGAGGGUCUCAGCUCUGCUGUCUGAUGAGGGUGCCCUCCUGAACUGUACUGACCCCUUACCCCCACCCCCAAACCCUUGUCCACACUAGGCUCCCAGUGGGCUCCCAGUGAAUCAGGCUCAGUGGCCACCCUUCUGGAGCCCCCGCGCCUGGCCAGGCCCCUGGGAAGAGUAGGCGUGCUCAUGGGAAAGGUCCCUAGUCUUCAGUGAGACCGUUUGGAGCUGGUGGGAGACAGGAAGGCUCAGGAAAGGAGGGUCUGUGCCACUCUGUGUCCCAGCAGCCUCUCUCUGUGUCACUCUACUACGGCCAAGCUGUCCGAUCUUGGGCAAGUCACUUGAGUUCUCUGUGCCUCCACCUUGUCAUCUGUGAAAUGGGCAGAUCAUUCAACCCCACCAUUAUUGUUGUUCAAAGGCUCAGUUGUGUCCAGCUCUUUGCAACUCCAUGGCCUGCAGCACACCAGACUUCCCUGUC